UGGUAGGGUGGUGUUGUUACACCUACACUCCCUGCUUUUACAUUCACAUUCAAUCAGCCCAACUAUCGUCAGCCUAGUCACUGAUAACCUCCACUUAGAUGGAGAUAAAAGGACCAGACGUUGUGUGCGUGCAUUACGGUGUCUGUAACCACACCCCUUCUCCUGUUGAGGUGCUUUCCUGAUUUGCCGGCCCUGUAUUCCUAGCCUUCCCUCUGACGCUCGCCUUCGGUAUGUCCUUGUCCCUGCAUGUUCAGUGAGGAACCGUACUUCGCCGCUGACCUCGUC